ensembl:lncRNA
GUGACAGCCUCACCACUGUUUCAGAUGUUCCAGCCAAGUUUUGCCUCUGGGCCCUGGUUUGAGCCUUUCCCCUGCCUGGAAUAGAGCCUGUCCCUCUCUCCCCUUCCCAGAGUCCUUGCCCCUUCCUUGGCUCCUCUUCCAGUCCAAAGAGCAGAUGAGAUGGAUAAGAAAACUACUGCCCAUGGACUGAGACACCAGAUUCCGGGCACAGAGCUACCUAUGGCCUGCAUUAUGGUCUGGGAGGGUGCAGGGGGCAGGACAUGACAAUAAGGAAACAACAGACUGGGAGGGACAGAUCCACCCCACCCUGGACUCCAAGCCAGUGUUUCUCACGCUGGAAGAAUGCAUGGAGCAUUUUCAAAGAAAACGUAGUAAAACAUAAGAGUGUUUGUGAGCGCCUAGGGUCUGAAGGUUUGGUUGGAAAAACACUGCCUUGAGAAACAAAAACACAGAAACAUGAAAAUAUAAAUGUAACUGUAGUUCUAUUAAAUUCCCCACAAAAAUCAUUCUUUCCAAUCUGAGCUUCCCUGAUACAAAAAAUACUUCUAGAAAACUUCCAUCAGCUGUGUAAGCAUGGAGCAGUUGCUUAACUUCUCUGAACCUGUUUCCUCACUCAAAACAGGAAGAGAAAUAAAAGUACCUACUUCAAAGUAUUGCUGGAGGGAUAAAAUGAAGUGAUACACCAGGUGAAGUGCUUUCAUGACCCCUGGCACUUUGCCAGUUCUCAAUCAGCUGUGGCUGUGAUCAAACAGAACCCUCUAAGGUAUCUGUUUUGUUACUGAAAAAUUCAGGGACCUAACUCAGAACUCCUCACUCCUUCUUCAGUUCCAGAAGGUCUGAUGUCCUGGGGUUUCCAGAGACUGGAAGGAAGGAAGCUCAGAAGACCGAGGCUCUGAGGAAGGCUGAGCUGCAGCCCCAGGAAGCAUAAGAAAGGAGGCAGAAUCAACAUAAGAUGUGGAUAUAGGCUUGAACAGAAGCGAAGAAGUUGUAAAAAUGAACAGACUGUAUAGAAAGCAGGAAACUAUUCAAGAGAGAGGGAACUAGUGCCUGCAAAUUAUUUUGACAUCAGUUGACCAAAAGGAUAGAGUGAUGGAUGGGCAGAAGGGAGAACAGAUAGAUGGACUGUGACAAAGAAAAUCCAUUCAAAUGUUCACAGCUGACUAUAGAUGGUACUCCUGACCUUAUCCUGACUUCUACGAUAAUGGUUUUCUUUCUGGCCUGAUUACAUAGUGAAGAGGAGAAGGAAAUUAGAAAACUAUGUAAUAAGUGAUUUAGAACUUAAUAAACAGUGUAAGACUCCUACAUUAUCCUCCAGUUUCUCCACCAGGCUCUGUGUCCCAGGACACUAGCUUCUACAGAUUGUAUCACAUGGAUUCACUUUUCCUCCAGCUCACAGAUGGAUUUGACCAAUGGGAAGAUCCAGAAGGAGGUCAGAGGUCAAAGUAUUGGUUGUUUCAGCUCCCUCUCUGCUUCACCAUUGCUUUAACAGUGGUCAUAUCCCUCUGCCUACAGGCACAGCUCUUUCACAGCCACAGGUCUCACAAGGGAGAGACCUUGUGUUCAACAGAAGGGGGAACCUUCUGUUCCUCCUUUUGCCACUUUAUUUCUCUGAGAUGUUUCAUCAUCCUUUGUCAGUUCCCUUUACCUUUUCACCUCUAUCAACACUAUUAAAC